rnacentral:rRNA from 1 species
GACGCAGGCGGUUUUUCAAGUCGGUUGUAAAAUCUCCCGGCUCAACUGGGAGGGACCAUCCGAUACUGAUGAACUUGAGAGCAGCAGAGGGAAGCGGAAUUCCCGGUGGAGUGGUGAUAUGCGUAGAUAUCGGGAAGAACACCAGUGGCGAAGGCGGCUUUCUGGGCUGUUUCUGACGCUGAGGUCCGAAAGCGUGGGUAGCGAACAGGAUUAGAUACCCUGGUAGUCC